GACGUAGGGCGCGAGCGUUGUCCGGAUUUAUUGGGCGUAAAGAGCUCGUAGGCGGCUUGUCGCGUCGACUGUGAAAUCCCGAGGCUCAACUUCGGGCUUGCAGUCGAUACGGGCAGGCUAGAGUUCGGUAGGGGAGACUGGAAUUCCUGGUGUAGCGGUGAAAUGCGCAGAUAUCAGGAGGAACACCGAUGGCGAAGGCAGCUCGCUGGGACGGUACUGACGCUGAGGCGCGAAAGCUAGGGGAGCAAACAGG
rnacentral:rRNA from 1 species